GUCAUCUCUCGCGUCUUUUUUGUAGACGAGUCGAGUGCCGGCUAGCAAGCAGCUAAUGGGGUUGCGAUGACCUACCGACCCCCUGUCAUGUACAGCCGCUCUUUUCUCACACGUUUAUCUCUUCGCGUUUCCUGCCAUUAGAAC
ensembl:ncRNA F52H2.14 ncRNA